UGCGUAGGCGGCCUGGUAAGUCAGAGGUGAAAGCUCGCAGCUUAACUGUGGAAUUGCCUUUGAUACUGUCAGGCUUGAAUCAGGCUGAGGUAGGCGGAAUGUGGCAUGUAGCGGUGAAAUGCUUAGAUAUGCCAUAGAACACCAAUUGCGAAGGCAGCUUACUAGACCUGAAUUGACGCUGAGGCACGAAAGCGUGGGGAGCGAACAGGAUUAGAUACCCUGGUAGUCC
rnacentral:rRNA from 1 species